UGCGUAGGCGGUCCCGCAAGUCCGCUGUGAAAGCCCCGAGCUUAACUUGGGAACUGCAGUGGAAACUAUGGGACUUGAAUCCGGCAGAGGGGGGUGGAAUGCCACGUGUAGCAGUGAAAUGCGUAGAGAUGUGGCGGAACACCGAUGGCGAAGGCAGCCCCCUGGGCUGAGAUUGACGCUCAGGCACGAAAGCGUGGGGAGCAAACA
rnacentral:rRNA from 1 species